UUGGCUCAGAUGGUAAAGCAUCUGCCUGCAAUGCGGAAGACCUGGGUUUGAUUCCUGGA
rnacentral:tRNA from 1 species